GGACUAGGAUUAGGGUUAGGGUUAACAUCACUAGUCGGCGUCGAAUAAACUGAUUACCAUCGCUCUCUCUGAGUGGGCGCUGCGUAUGAGCCGACGCCAUAGCUACUCUGUUUCUGUAAAUUCUCGAGGGCCUCCUUCUGGUUUGUUCUCACGCAGAUUCGGACAAAUUUCUCAUCUUUUACCCUCUUUAUUUAUUUUUGCCAUUUUUACUAGGAUCUGGGUUCGAAAAUAUGACCCAGAUCUGGUCAAUUUCAAUUUUGCGUCGUUUUGGAUUAUAAUGGAGAUGGAAGUGAUGACUAUUUCCCCAGAUGAUCGAAGCUGAAAUAACUGAGCUAUUACAUCUCUGUGUGUGUUACACACAGAGAUACCAAGCCAGGUGUUUCUGAUCCAUCUUCAAUUUGUGUCUUCUUUUUUUUCGGUUGUUUGAAUGGUUUUAUGAAUUCGGUGAAUCGAUGAUGAUAAAUCUAAGGCUUGUUUCUCAAGAACAUUCGCAGUUGCCGCCUGAGAGCUUUCGCCUUUCGCCAGGCUUGAGAGCUUAUGCUGCUUUUUCCUUCCUUGGAUGUCUGAGAUU
rnacentral:lncRNA from 1 species